rnacentral:rRNA from 1 species
GACGGAGGGUGCAAGCGUUGUUCGGAAUCACUGGGCGUAAAGCGCGUGUAGGCGGUUUGGUAAGUCGAGUGUGAAAGCCCAAGGCUUAACUUUGGAAGUGCACUCGAAACUGUCAGGCUUGAGUACGGGAGAGGGAAGUGGAAUUCCUGGUGUAGAGGUGAAAUUCGUAGAUAUCAGGAGGAACACCGGUGGCGAAGGCGGCUUCCUGGACCGAUACUGACGCUGAGACGCGAAAGCGUGGGGAG